UUCAUUUAGUCCAAAAAAAGACGUUGAAAACUGGUCUUUGUUUGGUCCGUCUAAUUCAGUCCAAAUUUAGCCUAAAAUUAGACGUCUUUUUCGGACCACUUUUCAACGUGUCUCCAUUCAAUAAUAAUCCUGACAAAAUAUGCAUGAAUGUAUAAAUACUGAGCACAUUGAACGAUAAUGAAACAUAUGCUUUGUUUAAAGUCUAUUAAUAUUUCUGUUUAUUUUAAUUAAAUAAAUAUGUUAAAUGUGCUCUAAACAGGUCAUUUCGGUCCUGUACAGCACUGAUAGAAGCACUUCAUUUUCAUCUUUUAACAAAUAUCUUUAUUUUCUUUUAAUAUGAUAUUAUUGGCAGAGGCGCGCGUCCGUCUCAUGCUUUGUGAUCACGUGAUUAUUCAACGGGGAGACGCGCGUUCUGGAUUUACCGAGUUUCUCCUCAGACAAGUGUUUCUGUUUUGUGGUCGAUUCUGGGUAAUGUUAGCUCGAGCGCUGUCAGCUUGACUGAGCUCGUCGCGCAGGUGACGAGCAGGUCAGUUAAUGGAAAUCUUUUAUUUGUCUUUAUAUCUUCUAUAUAAUCGUGUUAUGCUUGUUUUUAAAUGUAUUUUAAAUUGUUUAGUUAAUUAUAAUGCAAGUUUACUCCAAGUAUUGUAGUGUGGGCUUUUUUCAGCUUACGGCUAGCCUGAUUGAGCUCGUGGCACAGCUGUGAGCUAGCAGUUAACAUCCUUUUCUUGGUGUGUCUUGAUGUUUUCUAUUGGCUAAAGACAAUAAAAGCAUAGAGAUAUAUAAACCAAAGACAACUAUAAGAUAAUCCUUCAGGAGCCAGUAAAACAUCUACAGUUACAGCAGUAAACAUACUUGUUUUGGGUGCAAAUAAGGAGACUUACACAUGUCUCUGUGAAAUUGACAAUCUCAGGUAGGAGCUGCUGGUUUGUGGUUGGCAGUAUGGAUCACGGUCUGCGACUCAUGAGGAGCUGGUCUGGAGACAUGAAGAGGUUGUCAACAGAGGUCUGAAGCUAAUACCUGCCAUGGUCUGAUUGGUAUUUCAUGAGGAAUCAUGGGUUCCUUGGUAUUUGAAUUAUGUUGAACCAGGCAAGUACUCCAUCUUUCGAUCAUGUGUUCUGUCUGCUUACACAUUCCUAGCCAGAAUAACAUUUCGUGCUCUUAGCUUAGACUUCUCAGCGUGUGCGCAUAUCUCAGGUCAGAUAUGACUAUUUUCUAAUCUUCACUGGUCAAUGAAAGUUUGUCUUAAAAGUCAAUAAUGUAUGUGGGAAAUUGUCUCCUCUUUGCAGGCCAUCCAUCCAAGAUCAUCUAUCUGAGCUGCUGAAAACUGCCUCGGUACGGAUCUGUUGGAGCUUUGUGUCACUGACUGAAUUUCUGCAAAUUCCUGUUCCGUGUCAUAUUGCUUAUGCAAGACUGAAUCCAUAAAGGUGAUGUUCUGUGGAGACUGUGGGCGAUUCCUUCUGCUGUCAUUUAAACAUGAGCAGGAGUAAUGACGGGUUUAAAUGGACGCAACUAAUAUUAUGCCAGAGUCCGCUGCUUAUGCUGUAACCAUAAAGCAACCAGGACAACACACCUGGAGUGACCGAGAGCAGGAUGAAGGAGGAAUCGGAUGAGAAAAUGUCAACUGGUGCCCAUGAGGAGACAUAUUGUUCUUGGACCUGCUUUUUAUGUUUAGUAAUAAGUGGUUUUAUGUGGUUAAAAAAAAGUAAUUUAAUAUUAAUACUUAAUAUUUUAAUAUUCACUCCAAAAUGGUCUAGUAUUGUCACUUAACUUAUGCUGCUUGACUUCUCAGCAUAAAGAUCAUUAUUAAAUUAAUAUUAAAUAUUUCAAAUUUAGAAAUAGGCUACCCCAUGCCAUCUAAUAAAGAAGUGGGUACUCCGUGCGUGUCGUGUACCCAGCACUACACCAUAUGGCAUCAUUGAUGUCUGUUGUAAGUAGAUAUAUAACUGUUAUUAAAUAAUUAUAUUGUAUUUCUUUCUAUUUAAGUCCAAGUUCAAAAUAAAACUCUAUAAACCUCUCCAUUGUGAAAUGGUUUAUAUACAUUCACGGUUUAUAGAGUUUUAUUUUGAACUUGGACAUAAAUACGAAAAAAUAUAAUAUAAUUAUUUAAUAAAAAGUUAUACUAACAGCGGACAUCAAUGAUGCCAUAUGGCCCGGCAUUGAAUUGACCCCUCAGAUCUGAUUUGUGCAUUUUUGUAUUCAUGGUUAAAAUGUUCAACUUUUUGAUUGUAAUAAUAAUUUAACCUUAUCCCCAUAUGGGAUUUAAAAUGUUCAGUGACAUUACUGUCAGAUUCAAACGUCUUUCGCGCUGAGCCAGACGGACGAGCUCAGCGCUGUCAUAUAGCAACAUGCAG